GACGAACGCUGGCGGCGGGCUUAACACAUGCAAGUCGAACGGAAAGGCCCUGCUUUUGUGGGGUGCUCGAGUGGCGAACGGGUGAGUAACACGUGAGUAACCUGCCCUUGACUUUGGGAUAACUUCAGGAAACUGGGGCUAAUACCGGAUAGGAGCUCCUGCUGCAUGGUGGGGGUUGGAAAGUUUCGGCGGUUGGGGAUGGACUCGCGGCUUAUCAGCUUGUUGGUGGGGUAGUGGCUUACCAAGGCUUUGACGGGUAGCCGGCCUGAGAGGGUGACCGGCCACAUUGGGACUGCGAUACGGCGCAGACUCCUACGGGAGGCAGCAGUGGGGAAUAUUGCACAAUGGGCGGAAGCCUGAUGCAGCAACGCCGCGUGCGGGAUGACGGCCUUCGGGUUGUAAACCGCUUUCGCCUGUGACGAAGCGUGAGUGACGGUAAUGGGUAAAGAAGCACCGGCUAACUACGUG
rnacentral:rRNA from 1 species